UACGUAGGGUGCGAGCGUUGUCCGGAAUUAUUGGGCGUAAAGAGCGUGUAGGCGGCCCGAUUAGUCCGCUGUGAAAGUCCAGGGCUCAACCCUGGAAUGCCGGUGGAUACUGUCGGGCUAGAGUACGGAAGAGGCAAGUGGAAUUCCUGGUGUAGCGGUGGAAUGCGCAGAUAUCAGGAGGAACACCUAUAGCGAAGGCAGCUUGCUGGGACGUUACUGACGCUAAGGCGCGAAAGCGUGGGGAGCGAACAGG
rnacentral:rRNA from 1 species